GGAGAGUUGCAGCCUUGGUUAAAUUACCAUGACAGAGCUGAGGAGUUCAAAAUCUCAAUUGCUGGGAAGAUACGCUUAUCAGACAUUAGAUAACAUGUUUCUUUAAUCAACCAAAGAGAUAAAUCUGAAGACUGAAUCUCAUUACGUUGUCCAGGCUGGUCUUGAACUCAUGGUCUCAAGUGAUCCUCUCACCUUGGCCUCCCAAAGCACUGAGAUUAAAGGUAUGAGCCACCACAUCCGGACUGGUAUUGCUAUUAUUUGAUUGUUUUAUUUUCAAAUAUUUUUGAUCUGUGGUUGGUUGAAUUCAAGGAUGCAGAACCCAUGGAUAUGGAAGGCUG
rnacentral:lncRNA from 1 species